rnacentral:lncRNA from 1 species
GUUAAGUAAGUCUCGAAAGUACGCCUGCCACCUCUGCUUGACUUGAGACUCCCCUAUCAAAACUCUACCAUCCUCGCCCUUGAUGCACCCAACUUUGUCAAGAUCACGCGCCUUCCUUUCCCUUGCUUUAGCUAACCGGAAUAACUUCAUGUCCCCGCCUUUCUCCCCUAAUUCCUCGUACAUUCGACUAAACGCUGCAUUUUUAGCUUCCGUAACCGCCAGCUUCGCUUCUUUCCUAGCCACCUUGUAGAUCUCCAUGUUCACUCUCCGUUCUUCCUUGCUCGCGCUCCCUGCCAACUUAGCAAACGCCGGCUUCUUCACCUUCACUUUUCCUUCGACUACAUCGUUCCACCACUAGUCACCCUGAUGUCUGCCUGAAUAGCCUUUGGCUACCCCAAGCACGUCCCGUGCUACCUCCCUAACUAAGUUCGCCGUCUCUGAUCACAUAGGUCCGUUUCCCCAGAACUUCUCCAAGCUCCGCCCUCAGCUAACCUCCUCUCCAACUCCUUUGCUUUCUCCUUAGUCAAAACAACCCAUCUAAUCCGCGGUUGUCCCCGAGCACCCCUCCUCUUCCUCUUCACCCAGAGACCGACAUCCAUCACUAGANNNNNNNNNNNNNNNNNNNCUUCACUUUUCCUUCGACUACAUCGUUCCACCACUAGUCACCCUGAUGUCUGCCUGAAUAGCCCUUGGCUACCCCGAGCACAUCCCGAGCUACCUCCCUAACCAAGUUAACCGUCUCUGACCACAUAGCGUCCGCUUCCCCAGAACUUCUCCAAGCUCCGCCAUCAGCUAACCUCCUCUCCAACUCUUGUGCUUUCUCCUUUGUCAAAACACCCCAUCUAAUCCACGGUUGUCCCCGAGCACCCCUCCUCUUCCUCUUCACCCAG